UGGACUUGUCAUGUCAUUGUAUAGUGAAGUGUUAAUGCUGGAGCGCUGUUUCAUAUUAGUUUACAACAAUUAGACGCGACAAUGUGUUGCCGGGAAAAGUACACGAAGCUGGAGGGCGGAUCGAUUGCUAUUGGUGUUAUACACAUUUUUGUUUGCAUUUAUUUCCUUAUUGUUGGUUUCUUAAAUAUUGGCGCAAUUGUCAAUGCGGGCAAUGAGUGGAAUGUUGUAUAUCACAUAUUCGCAAUGACUGUAUUCCUUUUCGACGCAGUGUGUGGUUGGGCUUUCAGUACAACAUUAUUAAUUGGAAUCAAGAAGAGGAAUCCGAAUUGCGUGUUAUCGUACAUAGUGUGGGUGUGCCUCUCACAUUUUUUACUUAACACCAUAUUCCUUAUUACUACAUUUAUACUGGCUCCAUAUAUACACACUGAUUUGAGAGGGGACUCUUCUCCUGAAUUGAUGAACACUCUUCGUAAACUUUAUGUCUGCACCUGUGUGGCUUACUAUCUCUUUGGAACAGUUUCGUUGAUCAUCAUUUACAAGCAAUUUCAAAUUUUGAAAGAACGAAAGAACUUACUAAAAACUGACAUUGAUGUACGUUAUACGUUGCAAUUCCAUUGAAAAUUUAACAAAUUGACGACGACGCUGAAAAUUCAAAAUGGCAAGGACUUAACAAACACAUCGACGGAAUUACUCAAUUCUGAAGCGCCCUUACGGCGUGAUUUUUCAUUUGAAAAUACUCAAACUCUGUGAAAAAACUGAAUUUUUGUUUAAAAUAAGCUUAAAAAAAGACUGCUCACGAAAGUGACACUUCUGCUGCCUUUGUACAUUGUGAGCAACUCGGUGAGAAAUUCUUUUUUGGCACACGCUAUGUGUAUUUAUUUGGCCUAUGGGCUCGACACACUUCUACACAACUAGUGCCUAAAAAGCAUUUAUCACUCGGUGGCGUAAAUUCAUUCACAAGAAAUCGAGUUAUUUAUAAUUUUGAAUAGAAAUACGUAAAUAAAUGUCAUUUUCGUAUCUACGCUGUUCGUUCAUGCUGUUCUCCGUUUGAGAGAAAUCGGAAAAGUCAACAGCUUGGAUACGAAAGUGACAAUUUUUACGUGUGCAAAACAGUAACGAAUCGAAUCAUUAAAAUGAAUCU